CCUACGGGUGGCUGCAGUGGGGAAUAUUGGACAAUGGGCGAAAGCCUGAUCCAGCCAUGCCGCGUGUGUGAAGAAGGCCUUCGGGUUGUAAAGCACUUUCAGUGGGGAAGAAAGCCUUGGGGCUAAUACCCUCGAGGAAGGACAUCACCCACAGAAGAAGCACCGGCUAACUCCGUGCCAGCAGCCGCGGUAAUACGGAGGGUGCGAGCGUUAAUCGGAAUUACUGGGCGUAAAGCGCGCGUAGGCGGUCUGAUAAGCCGGUUGUGAAAGCCCCGGGCUCAACCUGGGAACGACAGCCGGAACUGUCAGGCUAGAGUGCAGGAGAGGAAGGUAGAAUUCCCGGUGUAGCGGUGAAAUGCGUAGAGAUCGGGAGGAAUACCAGUGGCGAAGGCGGCCUUCUGGACUGACACUGACGCUGAGGUGCGAAAGCGUGGGUAGCAAACAGGAUUAGAUACCCUUGUAGU
rnacentral:rRNA from 1 species